rnacentral:tRNA from 4 species
AGGGGUAUAGUUUAAUGGUAGAAUCGCGAACUUCAAAUUCGCCAGCGCAUGUUCGAUUCGUGCUGCCCUUG